GAUGAACGCUGGCGGCGUGCCUAAUACAUGCAAGUCGAGCGAACAGACGAGGAGCUUGCUCCUCUGACGUUAGCGGCGGACGGGUGAGUAACACGUGGAUAACCUACCUAUAAGACUGGGAUAACUUCGGGAAACCGGAGCUAAUACCGGAUAAUAUAUUGAACCGCAUGGUUCAAUAGUGAAAGACGGUUUUGCUGUCACUUAUAGAUGGAUCCGCGCCGCAUUAGCUAGUUGGUAAGGUAACGGCUUACCAAGGCAACGAUGCGUAGCCGACCUGAGAGGGUGAUCGGCCACACUGGAACUGAGACACGGUCCAGACCCCUACGGGAGGCAGCAGUAGGGAAUCUUCCGCAAUGGGCGAAAGCCUGACGGGGCAACGCCGCGUGAGUGAUGAAGGUCUUCGGAUCUUAAAACUCUGUUAUUAGGGAAGAACAAUUGUGUAAGUAACUAUGCACGUCUUGACGGUACCUAAUCAGAAAGCCACGGCUAACUACGUG
rnacentral:rRNA from 1 species